CCCGCCCCCCUUUCCUCCCUCUUCCCUCUCCUCUUUUGUUGCCUCCACUCUCGGACACGACAGCCUGGGCUGUUUCUCCCCCUCCCACUUGGGAGUUUGCGGUGUGGACGUACAGCGAGCACAGAUCCACUUGGGACCGUACCCGCACUUAAUCUCUCUGGAAUGGGGUUAUGGAAUCAGCUGCUGUGAUUGAACUUUGCUGCCGGUCCGCGUGGUGGAGGCCCGGUGCCACUCACCAAAGCCCACUGUCCAGGAGUAUGAAAACACCCUCCCUAUCGCUGCUUUCCUCACUGUGCAGUUGGCCAGGGCCCUUUCAUCUCACUCUGCUGGAGAACCCCGCUAUCAAACUCGUCACUCUGCAGUCAAAUUUGAAAGUCUGUGAAAACGCAACCAAGAGAACAUCCUUCAGCCUGAAGGUUUGAGGCUCUCCCAGAAAGGACUCUGAAGCCAUUUUUUCGACAACAGAAGAAGGAACCUGUUUAUCCCAAGGUUGAACA